AUUUCAUUAUUAUAUUUAGUAUAUUUAAUUUCAAAUUAAAAGGAAAUGAAUUG
rnacentral:tRNA from 2 species